CCUACGGGAGGCAGCAGUGGGGAAUAUUGCGCAAUGGGGGAAACCCUGACGCAGCAACGCCGCGUGAGUGAGGAAGGACUUCGGUCUGUAAAGCUCUGUUAAUGAGGAAAAAUGGUAGUUGGUCUAAUAGGCCGAUUAUUUGAUGGUACUCAUAGAGGAAGCACCGGCUAACUUCGUGCCAGCAGCCGCGGUAAUACGAAGGGUGCAAGCGUUGUUCGGAUUUAUUGGGCGUAAAGCGCGCGUAGGCGGACCCGCAAGUCAGAUGUGAAAUCUCGAGGCUCAACCUCGAAACUGCGUCUGAAACUACGGGUCUAGAAUCUCGGAGGGGGAAGGGGAAUUUCGCAUGUAGGGGUAAAAUCCGUAGAUAUGCGAAGGAACACCAGAGGCGAAGGCGCCUUACCUGGACGAGUAUUGACGCUGAGGCGCGAAAGCGUGGGGAUCAAACAGGAUUAGAUACCCCGGUAGUCCACGCUGUAAACGAUGAACACUAGGUAUUGGAGGAUUUGACCCCCUUNUAGUGCGUAGCUACGUACGUAGUAGUUCGUCCGUGGAGUACGGUCGCGAGACUAAACUACAAGAAGUAGACGCGNGAGACGUAGCCGACGGACGACGACGAGGGAGGUAGG
rnacentral:rRNA from 1 species